UCCUGUGCUCUCUUUGGCAUAUGCUAAAAUUGAAACUAUACAGAGAAGAUUAGCAUGGCCCCUGCGAAAGGAUGACACCCCAAUACAGAGGAUCCUUUUAUU
ensembl:snRNA U6 U6 spliceosomal RNA